rfam:Calypte anna contig12805, whole genome shotgun sequence.
AUCGCUUCUCGGCCUUUUGGCUAAGAUCAAGUGUAGUAUCUGUUCUAUGAUUCAUGAUUUCGGUGUCAUUUUGGGGGCUUACAUUAAUUCUAACAUAUUAAGAGGAAAGUUAACUAUAUAUAUGAGGGUAGGAAGGUCCCUUUAGUAUCAAAUAUUCAGGAUGAUUCAAGGCAUACUGAUCUCGGCAACAUGUUUUGGUCCUCCU